UACGUAGGGGGCAAGCGUUGUCCGGAUUUAUUGGGCGUAAAGAGCGUGCAGGCGGCCAGGUAGGUCAGCUGUGAAAACUCGAGGCUCAACCUCGAGACGUCGGUUGAAACCACCUGGCUAGAGUCCGGAAGAGGAGAGUGGAAUUCCUGGUGUAGCGGUGAAAUGCGCAGAUAUCAGGAAGAACACCCGUGGCGAAGGCGGCUCUCUGGGACGGUACUGACGCUGAGACGCGAAAGCGUGGGGAGCGAACAGG
rnacentral:rRNA from 1 species